AGAUGUUGGAGGUUUAGUGGUGGGUGGAAGGUGUCAUGAUCCUGAGAGAGAGAGAGAUCACUGAUAGAUGUCAGAGAUGUUGGAGGUUUAGUGGUGGGUGGAAGGUGUCAUGAUCCUGAGAGAGAGAGAGAUCACUGAUAGAUGUCAGAGAUGUUGGAGGUUUAGUGGUGGGUGGAAGGUGUCAUGAUCCUGAGAGAGAGAGAGAUCACUGAUAGAUGUCAGAGAUGUUGGAGGUUUAGUGGUGGGUGGAAGGUGUCAUGAUCCUGAGAGAGAGAGAUCACUGAUAGAUGUCAGAGAUGUUGGAGGUUUAGUGGUGGGUGGAAGGUGUCAUGAUCCUGAGAGAGAGAGAGAUCACUGAUAGAUGUCAGAGAUGUUGGAGGUUUAGUGGUGGGUGGAAGGUGUCAUGAUCCUGAGAGAGAGAGAGAUCACUGAUAGAUGUCAGAGAUGUUGGAGGUUUAGUGGUGGGUGGAAGGUGUCAUGAUCCUGAGAGAGAGAGAUCACUGAUAGAUGUCAGAGAUGUUGGAGGUUUAGUGGUGGGUGGAAGGUGUCAUGAUCCUGAGAGAGAGAGAGAUCACUGAUAGAUGUCAGAGAUGUUGGAGGUUUAGUGGUGGGUGGAAGGUGUCAUGAUCCUGAGAGAGAGAGAGAUCACUGAUAGAUGUCAGAGAUGUUGGAGGUUUAGUGGUGGGUGGAAGGUGUCAUGGUGCCUCCAGCUUCAGGCAUGGCGUUCUAACAGAGUCUGUAGUCCAUCUUAGCCACAGAGGUAAA